UAGCAGGGGCAGAGGGGCAUUCGGCGCCACUCACUUCAGCAUCAGUUAAUUUCUGUCAGUGCAAAAUAUAUAAAUGGCACGCAGUCCUCAGUUAGCUGCCGUUUUUGGCACCCUUGUCCUGGCUAGCUUCGCCUCUUCAUCCAGCUCAUCCAUGAUCUUCUCUUGUGACACUGAAUAAAAUGUGUAGCCAUCUGAGCGCAGAGGUCAGUCAAGGCCAACAUCAACCUUUCAGAUGUAACGUUAGCUAACCAUCGGCUUUGAACAGCAUGUAAAUAAAACGUACAAUAUGAUCACCAAAAACCAGCCAAACCUGCUGGCUGAACAAGUAACAAGUGACAAGCUAACUUACCCAGACAACUGAGCAUGAGCCGGCAGACAAAUAUCUGUUUACGAGCUUGAAGCACCACUGGCUGGAACUGGGAUGGAAUAUGAUGAGAACAUCAGAGGGAAAGAUGCUACCCAAGCAGCUCUUCUCGUUGUACACACCAGCAUGGGAAAAGACAGCCGCCACUGAAAUUGCCCAAUCAGGUUUCAGAGCCACAGGGAUGUUUCCUGUUAUUUUGGAUGCAGUUCCCUGUCAUGUUUUCCCUCUAAACCUGACCACAGAGAGAGGAGCAGGCAGAAAAAUAUGAGGUGACUGAAUGUGAUGUAACCAUGUCCCCACAAGAGAUUUCAUUCAUGGAAGAGCGGAUGGGUAUAGUGGAGGAAGUAGUUUUGACCUGCCAGUCUGACCACCACAACAAGCAGCCCUCGACCUCUGAGGCCGUGCUUGGAGCUUUAAGGUUCUGUGACCUUGUGGCUAUCCCCACAAGGGAGAGGGGGAAAAGAAACCUGGCAAGGCCACCCAGCUACAACUUAACAUGUGAAGAGCACUUUGACUACAUAAGCAAGUCAAAGAGCAAAAAGGAAGAAAAGGCCAAAGCAAAAAAAGGUUCUUCCCUAAGUGAGUCUGCUGGUAUGAAGAAAAUGACAGGUGGCAGCAUGGAUUCUUGCACAGUUUUCAGGAAGGCAUAUGCAUAUCAAACU